GUACUACUCUCAGAGUUUGAUCCUGGCUCAGGACGAACGCUGGCGGCGUGCCUAACACAUGCAAGUCGAACGGAAGUAAGACUCCGGUUUUACUUUAGUGGCGAACGGGUGAGUAACGCGUGAGAAACCUGCCUUUCAGUGGGGGACAACAGUUGGAAACGACUGCUAAUACCGCAUAAUGUAUUUUGACCGCAUGAUCGAAAUACCAAAGCUUUAUGUGCUGAAAGAUGGUCUCGCGUCUGAUUAGCUAGUUGGUGAGGUAACGGCUCACCAAGGCGACGAUCAGUAGCCGGUCUGAGAGGAUGAACGGCCACAUUGGGACUGAGAUACGGCCCAG
rnacentral:rRNA from 1 species